rnacentral:rRNA from 1 species
CCUACGGGUGGCAGCAGUGAGGAAUAUUGGUCAAUGGACGCAAGUCUGAACCAGCCAUGCCGCGUGCAGGAAGACGGCUCUAUGAGUUGUAAACUGCUUUUGUACGAGGGUAAACGCAGAUACGCGUAUCUGUCUGAAAGUAUCGUACGAAUAAGGAUCGGCUAACUCCGUGCCAGCAUCCGCGGUAAUACGGAGGAUUCAAGCGUUAUCCGGAUUUAUUGGGUUUAAAGGGUGCGUAGGCGGUCGUAUAAGUUAGAGGUGAAAUCCCGAGGCUCAACUUCGGAAUUGCCUCUGAUACUGUGCGGCUAGAGAGUAGUUGCGGUAGGCGGAAUGUAUGGUGUAGCGGUGAAAUGCUUAGAGAUCAUACAGAACACCGAUUGCGAAGGCAGCUUACCAAGCUACUUCUGACGUUGAGGCACGAAAGCGUGGGGAGCAAACAGGAUUAGAUACCCCAGUAGUC